GACGAACGCUGGCGGCGUGCCUAAUACAUGCAAGUAGAACGCUGAAGGAGGAGCUUGCUUCUCCGGAUGAGUUGCGAACGGGUGAGUAACGCGUAGGUAACCUGCCUGGUAGCGGGGGAUAACUAUUGGAAACGAUAGCUAAUACCGCAUAACAGUAGAUAUUGCAUGAUAUCUGCUUGAAAGGUGCAAUUGCAUCACUACCAGAUGGACCUGCGUUGUAUUAGCUAGUUGGUGGGGUAACGGCUCACCAAGGCGACGAUACAUAGCCGACCUGAGAGGGUGAUCGGCCACACUGGGACUGAGACACGGCCCAGACUCCUACGGGAGGCAGCAGUAGGGAAUCUUCGGCAAUGGACGGAAGUCUGACCGAGCAACGCCGCGUGAGUGAGGAAGGUUUUCGGAUCGUAAAGCUCUGUUGUAAGAGAAGAACGAGUGUGAGAGUGGAAAGUUCACACUGUGACGGUAUCUUACCAGAAAGGGACGGCUAACUACGUG
rnacentral:rRNA from 1 species